rnacentral:lncRNA from 1 species
CCCCACCCGCCACCCGCACUCGGCUCCGCAGCCGGCCGGAGCGAGCUCCGCGCGUCCGGGCGGGAGCCGAGGGCUCCCCGGGUUCAAAGGGCCGCAGCCCCGAGGGAAUGCCCUCCUCGCUGUGCCCCAGGGGGCAGAAGCCGACUGCUGGGCGGUGGGACCGGCCUGGGCCACGCACAACCAACGAGGAUAUGUGACAAUCAGGACUUGUCUUCUGACUGCCUGGGAAUGAAAGUUGGUCCACAGUCUGAGAUAGGACAAGACCACAGAUUUCUGGGUUAAUGCAACCACAUAUGCUUUGCUUAGUAACACUUCUGUUAUGUUUUUGUAAAGAAGAAAGGCUCCUUGAUGUCAACAACUGUGUGGUCCCUGUGGAAGCUGCCUGCUACCCUCCCGUGAGUCUCUUCAUAGCAAGCCUGACAACGGAUCUUCCCGAUCUUCCAGGGCUCCAGCCACUAAUGAAAGGCAGCUUAGAAGAAGCAGACAAUAGACAAAAUUCAGCUGCCCCACACAGCAUUUUUCUCAUGCGUAUUUUCAUUUCAAGAAUGAUACUCUCAAGGAUAAGGAAAAAUUACAAAAGACACUAAUUUUUGAAGACCUUUUGAAAACCGAAACAGAGGAUGAUUUAAACCAUCCACAUUCCUCCUGACUUGAGCUUUCACAGACCUGAAUGCUGAUUGGAAAAUCCUGUCAUGGUUUCUCCGAAGAAAAAGGGUAAUAAUGACUAUAUUAAUAUGACAUUUCAACAUUCAAUGCAAUGCAAAACAAGUUUGUUUUUUUAGAAAAAGAAAAAAAAAAAGAAAGAAGAAGAAGAAACAGAAGAAAAAGAAAUCUAUCCCCCAACACCAACUGCACUGGAUGCAAUUUAAGCCCAGUGUGGAUUUUAUUUGCACCCCAUUACUCAUAAAUACCCAAAUGUAACUCUUUUACCAGAGCUCCUUUUGAGUUCAAUGUGAUAAUGAAUGUGAAGG